rnacentral:rRNA from 1 species
CCUACGGGUGGCAGCAGUCGAGAAUCAUUCACAAUGGGGGAAACCCUGAUGGUGCGACGCCGCGUGGGGGAAUGAAGGUCUUCGGAUUGUAAACCCCUGUCAUGUGGGAGCAAAUUAAAAAGAUAGUACCACAAGAGGAAGAGACGGCUAACUCUGUGCCAGCAGCCGCGGUAAUACAGAGGUCUCAAGCGUUGUUCGGAAUCACUGGGCGUAAAGGGUGCGUAGGCUGUUUCGUAAGUCGUGUGUGAAAGGCGCGGGCUCAACCCGCGGACGGCACAUGAUACUGCGAGACUAGAGUAAUGGAGGGGUAACCGGAAUUCUCGGUGUAGCAGUGAAAUGCGUAGAUAUCGAGAGGAACACUCGUGGCGAAGGCGGGUUCCUGGACAUUAACUGACGCUGAGGCACGAAGGCCAGGGGAGCGAAAGGGAUUAGAUACCCCAGUAGUC